rnacentral:rRNA from 1 species
GACGAACGCUGGCGGCGUGCUUAACACAUGCAAGUCGAGCGGUAAGGCCCUUUCGGGGGUACACGAGCGGCGAACGGGUGAGUAACACGUGGGUGACCUGCCCUCAGCUCUGGGAUAAGCCUGGGAAACCGGGUCUAAUACCGGAUAUGACUCCAUGACGCAUGUUGUGGGGUGGAAAGCCUUGUGCGGCUGAGGAUGGGCCCGCGGCCUAUCAGCUUGUUGGUGGGGUGANGGCCUACCAAGGCGACGACGGGUAGCCGGCCUGAGAGGGCGACCGGCCACACUGGGACUGAGACACGGCCCAGACUCCUACGGGAGGCAGCAGUGGGGAAUCUUGCGCAAUGGGCGAAAGCCUGACGCAGCGACGCCGCG